GUUGGUUUGGCCGAGUGGUUAUGGCGCUGUGUUCAGGUUCUUUGCUUAGCAACCGCAGUGUGAAAACGCGUGGGUUCGAAUCCCACAACCAACA
rnacentral:tRNA from 2 species